rnacentral:lncRNA from 1 species
GUCGUAUAUAUAAAAAGAAUUACUAUAAGUUAUCUAGUAUGAAAUAUGUCCACUGGACCGACCGUGCAAGUACUGUAUAGCCAGUCAAGGUCGUUAAAAACUUCCAUUUGUUGUUGUCCACUGGAAAUAAGCUCUUUAAAACACGAAUCCCCGUUUACUCAAUGCCAAAUUUAUUUGUUAGUGUUUUUUAAUUAUCUUUUUCUUAUGAUUUUAUCAUACUAUCUUUUUUGAUUUUUUUUGUGUGGUUGAACAUGAAAUUGACACCGAUGCUACAAAGAAAAUUUGUUUAAUGUCAUCUGUUGCAAUACUAGUAUAUACUAAGUAUUACACGUGGACAGGAUGUUCCCCAGAAAAUAAGUUAUACACACCCCAAGGGUACACGCUACUGUCAUAUGGAAAAUUACUGGGUCACCUGUAAGAUGGUAAUCAGCCAUGCAACUAAUCAGGUGACUGACCAUGUCACUACGCUUUAAAAAGUUUAUCGUGAGAUCGAAAUGAAAUAUUCAUUUUAAUUAAAAAAUUUAAGAACUAAAGGAUUUAUCAUUAUUAUGAAUUGAAAUAAUUCAACCAAAUCGUAUUAUUUCCCAAAAAGAUUAUAUACAUAUGUUUUAUCUAUACCGGGAAAAAAAUG